CCUACGGGGGGCUGCAGUGGGGAAUAUUGCACAAUGGGCGCAAGCCUGAUGCAGCCAUGCCGCGUGUGUGAAGAAGGCCUUCGGGUUGUAAAGCACUUUCAGCGGGGAGGAAGGCGUUAAGGUUAAUAACCUUGGCGAUUGACGUUACCCGCAGAAGAAGCACCGGCUAACUCCGUGCCAGCAGCCGCGGUAAUACGGAGGGUGCAAGCGUUAAUCGGAAUUACUGGGCGUAAAGCGUACGCAGGCGGUCUGUCAAGUCGGAUGUGAAAUCCCCGGGCUCAACCUGGGAACUGCAUUCGAAACUGGCAGGCUAGAGUCUUGUAGAGGGGGGUAGAAUUCCAGGUGUAGCGGUGAAAUGCGUAGAGAUCUGGAGGAAUACCGGUGGCGAAGGCGGCCCCCUGGACAAAGACUGACGCUCAGGUGCGAAAGCGUGGGGAGCAAACAGGAUUAGAUACCCGGGUAGUC
rnacentral:rRNA from 1 species